CAACAGCUAGAGUUUGAUCCUGGCUCAGGAUAAACGCUGGCGGCGUGCCUAAUACAUGCAAGUUGAGCGCAUAGUUUACUAUGAGCAGCGAACGGGUGAGUAAUACAUAAGCAACCUACCUACAAAGACCGGGAUAACAUCUGGAAACGGGUACUAAAACCGGAUAGGUAACUGUAAGGCAUCUUAUAGUUAUUAAAGGUUCAAAACACUAGUAGAUGGGCUUAUGGCGCAUUAGUUAGUUGGUGAGGUAACGGCCCACCAAGACGAUGAUGCGUAGCCGGCCUGAGAGGGUGAUCGGCCACAUUGGGACUGAGACACGGCCCAGACUCCUACGGGAGGCAGCAGUAGGGAAUUUUCGGCAAUGGAGGGAACUCUGACCGAGCAACGCCGCGUGAGUGAAGAAGGUCUUCGGAUUGUAAAGCUCUGUUGUAGACAAGGAAUGGUACAGAUAGACUCUGUAAGUGACCAGUCUACCAGAAAGCCACGGCUAACUACGUGCC
rnacentral:rRNA from 1 species